rnacentral:rRNA from 1 species
UUGUCCUACGGGGCGCAGCAGUGAGGAAUAUUGGUCAAUGGGCGGGAGCCUGAACCAGCCAAGUCGCGUGAGGGAAGACGGCCCUAUGGGUUGUAAACCUCUUUUGUCGGGGAGCAAAAGCCGGACGUGUCCGUCUGUGAGAGUACCCGAAGAAAAAGCAUCGGCUAACUCCGUGCCAGCAGCCGCGGUAAUACGGAGGAUGCGAGCGUUAUCCGGAUUUAUUGGGUUUAAAGGGUGCGCAGGCGGAUUUUUAAGUCAGCGGUCAAAUCGUGGGGCUCAACCCCAUCCAGCCGUUGAAACUGGGG